GUUUUUCGUCGAGAGAUUCACUAUGGAAUCGAUAUCCAGGAAUGAUUUUCAGAGUAUUUGAGAAAAUGAGAGGUGCAGAUGGUUUUCACUGAGGCAUGGUUUCAAAUUUAAAGAGGAUUAUGGCCCAGAAAUGAUGAAGAAGAUGGAAGGAACCACCACCUCAGUGGAGGUGACAGGUGCUAGACGACUACCUGGAAUAGAUGGGAGAACAAAAUAAAUGCAAGAAUCCAAGUCUGAAUUUGUUUCCAGCCUAGAGGAAGGAAGGCCUUCUUGGAGUGAAGCCUAAGUGCCGUGUGUUGUCAGUGCUCCAUGGGGUAACUGAGUCUCAGAGAGCUUAAUUAGCUCAACUAGUAUGGGCCAUAUUUGUUCCAAGUCACAGAAUUUUCCAGAUGCAGAGUGACUUGGUUAGUAUGUGGGGAAGGAUGGUAGGAUUUUCUCCUGGGUAGCUCAUACUUCAAAAGACCAUGUUCUGUCAACUAUGGCACAUGAGCAAGUGACCUCCAGGUAUGGAUCUUCAGCUGUCUGCUAUCAUCAUCUGGCUGUCUCCUCUGAACUUCAAACUUGGUGUGUCCCAAACCAAGCUUUUAAAGUGCUAAUGAGGACAAA
rnacentral:sRNA from 1 species